rnacentral:misc_RNA from 1 species
CUGCGCGGCCCUCUCUCUCUCCUCUUCUUUACACCUCACCUCCGGAUCGCUCAGAGAUUGAGUCGUAGCCCGACUGGUCGCCGCGUCCCUCCCCCCUCCCCCGCGCGCGGCAGCAGAGCACCACAGCGAGCAAUGGAGGCGGUGGGCAUCGACCUGGCGCUGGGCGGCGGCGCUGCGUCCCUCCCCCCCUCCCCCGCGCGCAGCAGCAGAGCACCACAGCGAGCAAUGGAGACGGUGGGCGUCGGCCUGGCGCUGGGCGGCCUACAUGUGCCCACCGGGAGAAAGAACUGUACUUCCUAG